rnacentral:rRNA from 1 species
UACGUAGGGGGCUAGCGUUGUCCGGAAUCAUUGGGCGUAAAGCGCGUGUAGGCGGCCCGGUAAGUCCGCUGUGAAAGUCGGGGGCUCAACCCUCGAAUGCCGGUGGAUACUGUCGGGCUAGAGUACGGAAGAGGCGAGUGGAAUUCCUGGUGUAGCGGCGAAAUGCGCAGAUAUCAGGAGGAACACCCAUUGCGAAGGCAGCUCGCUGGGACGUUACUGACGCUGAGACGCGAAAGCGUGGGGAGCAAACAGG